UUUUUUUUUUUUUUUUUUUUCCUUAGCAGGUAUAUUGGUAGAAAGAACUAAGCCCCUUUUCUUCUAAAUUUCCUAAAUGGGACUCCAUUUAGUGAAUUAUAAAGGAAAAAUCUAAGGGUUGACAUGAAGCUUAGGGUCAGUUUAUCCUAUCCAGAUAGUGGACUCCUAGUGUAAUUAAAAAGCCCUGAAGUAGGAUUCAAGAGAAUGUGAUUGAAGUCUUCACUAUAUUCACUUUAAAAUUAGGUGACUUUAGGCUGGGCUUGUCACUUUUUUUGUCUCAACUUCCUUUUCUUAUAGGAUGGAUAUACUCAAACCCUGAAAUUUAAAGACUUUUUAAAAAGUUUUAUUGAAAUAGAGUUGAUUAUUAUAAUUUCUGCUGUACAACAAAGUGAUUCAGUUAUACAUAUAAACACAUCUAUUCUUUUUAAGAUUCUGUUCCCAUAUAGAUUAUCAUAGAAUAUUGGGUAGAGUUCUUUGUACUUUACAGCAGGUCCCUGUUGGCCAAUCAUUCUGUAUACCACAGUGUAUAUAUGCCAAUCCCAAACCCCAACUCUAUUGCUCCCCGCCUUUGGUAAUUUUAUGAUUGUUUUCAAAAUCUAUGAGUCUGUUGUGUUCUGAAAAUAAGUCCAUUUUUAUCCUUUUUGGAUUUCACAUAUAAGUGAUAUCACAUGAUUGUCUUUCUCUAUUUUAGUUCACUUAGUAUGAUAAUUUACAAUAUUUCACAUAUUGGCUGCAACAACCUGGAUGAAACUAGACUCUCAUACUGAGUGAAGUUGAAAUAGAAAGACAAAUACCACUUGUAUCUGGUAUCUAAUAUACAGCACAAAUGAACCUUUCCACAGAAAAGAAAAUUAUGGACUUGGAGAAUAGACCUGUGGUUGCCAAGGGGGAGGGGGAGGGAGUGGGAUGGAUUGGAAGGUUGGGGUUAAUGUAUGAAAACUAUUGCCUUUGGAAUGGAUUAGCAAUGAGAUCCUGCUGUGUAGCAGUGGGAAUUAUGUCUAGUUACUUACGACAGACAAGUAUAAUGGGAGAAAAAAAGAAUGUAUACAUGUAUGUGUAACUGGGUCACCAUGUUUACAGUGGAAAAAAAAAGAAUUAUGUAAAUAGAAAAAAAUAAAAAAAUAAAAUCACCAGCCAGUGUUUUUCGAACACUUGCUAUGUGUACAUCCACAAAUAAUAAAGCAAAAAAAAAAAAACA
rnacentral:lncRNA from 1 species